rnacentral:rRNA from 1 species
AUACGGAGGAUGCGAGCGUUAUCCGGAUUUAUUGGGUUUAAAGGGAGCGUAGGUGGGAUAUUAAGUCAGCUGUGAAAGUUUGGGGCUCAACCUUAAAAUUGCAGUUGAUACUGGUUUCCUUGAGUACGGUACAGGUGGGCGGAAUUCGUGGUGUAGCGGUGAAAUGCUUAGAUAUCACGAAGAACUCCGAUCGCGAAGGCAGCUCACCGGGCCGGAACUGACACUGAUGCUCGAAAGUGCGGGUAUCAAACAGGAUUAGAUACCCUGGUAGUCCGCACAGUAAACGAUGAAUACUCGCUGUUUGCGAUACACUGUAAGCGGCCAAGCGAAAGCGUUAAGUAUUCCACCUGGGGAGUACGCCGGCAACGGUGAAACUUAAAUGAAUUGGCGGGG